AGCGAACGCUGGCGGCAGGCCUAACACAUGCAAGUCGAACGCCCCUUUCGGGGGGAGUGGCAGACGGGUGAGUAACGCGUGGGAACGUGCCCUUUGGUUCGGGAUAACCCAGGGAAACUUGGGCUAAUACCGGCUACGCCCUUUGGGGGAAAGAUUUAUCGCCGAAGGAGCGGCCCGCGUCUGAUUAGCUGGUUGGUGAGGUAACGGCUCACCAAGGCGACGAUCAGUAGCUGGUCUGAGAGGAUGAUCAGCCACACUGGGACUGAGACACGGCCCAGACUCCUACGGGAGGCAGCAGUGGGGAAUAUUGGACAAUGGGCGCAAGCCUGAUCCAGCCAUGCCGCGUGAGUGAUGAAGGCCCUAGGGUUGUAAAGCUCUUUCGGCGGGGACGAUAAUGACGGUACCCGCAGAAGAAGCCCCGGCUAACUUCGUGCCAGCCGCCGCCGUAACAC
rnacentral:rRNA from 1 species